rnacentral:rRNA from 1 species
AACGAACGCUGGCGGCAUGCCUAACACAUGCAAGUCGAACGAGACCUCCGGGUCUAGUGGCGCACGGGUGCGUAACGCGUGGGAACCUGCCUUUAGGUUCGGAAUAACUCAGAGAAAUAUGAGCUAAUACCGGAUGAUGUCUUCGGACCAAAGAUUUAUCGCCUUUAGAUGGGCCCGCGUUGGAUUAGCUAGUUGGUGGGGUAAAGGCCUACCAAGGCGACGAUCCAUAGCUGGUCUGAGAGGAUGAUCAGCCACACUGGGACUGAGACACGGCCCAGACUCCUACGGGAGGCAGCAGUGGGGAAUAUUGGACAAGGGGCGAAAGCCUGAUCCAGCAAUGCCGCGUGAGUGAUGAAGGCCUUAGGGUUGUAAAGCUCUUUUACCCGAGAUGAUAAUGACAGUAUCGGGAGAAUAAGCUCCGGCUAACUCCGUG